AGUUGCAAUUUUUACCCAUAGGCUUCAGCAGGAAAUGAUAUUAAUUUCCUGUUAUCCCUACACAAUAAGGAGCUGGGUUGGGAUAGGAGGCCUCCAAAAGUUGGUAGCCCUAUGAAUUGUGUCUACAGGUAACAUGUAGUGACUUGGCGCUCAUCAGCAGUCUCACAAAAGAACAAUACAGUUGAUCACUUCUGUUCUCAAGUGUUUCCAGACUACAAUUGUGUGAGGCCUCUGAGAAAUCAUGGAAGCAACUGUUGUAGCUAAUAGUGACCAGCAAGAUGGUGACCCCUUCAAUAUGAGCUGGACAAAAAAUAUCACGGAGAAGCCAAAGGUGUGGUGAGAGUUGCUGGGUGAGUUGAUUUACUUUGUCUAGGAGAUUAUCCUCGUGCAAAGGUCACAACAAAUUGCAUUUUUGU